AUGAAGAUGUUUGGUCCAGUUUGUUCAGUUAUCCAAGAUAUAGCCGCCGAUGGAUCAAUUGGCUCAAUUCGUGCAGAUGCAGACACUUCUUUUGGCUACUUGUCCUCAUUUGAGUUCAUUUUUAUCUUAUGUUUGAUGAAGGAAAUCUUUGAAAUAACAGAAUUGCUUGGCCAAGCUUUACAAAAGAAAUCACAAGAUAUUGUGAAUGCUGUCCGCCUAGUUUCCUCAACAAAACAAUGUCUUCAGGAGUUGAGAUCAGAUGAUGGCUACCAAGUAUUUAUUACUACGGUUGUUGAAUUUUGUGUAAACCAUUCCAUUGACAUUCCAGACUUUGAGGAAACAUACAUCAUGCGUGGUGGUCGUGCUCGUCGUCAACCUGAUCAGUUCACCAAGGAGCAUUACUUUCGAGUGGAAAUUUUCUUCUCAACACUGGACACUCAACUAUUUGAAUUAAGCCGAAGAUUCAAUGAUAAGGUAAUGGAUCUUCUAACCAUUAGCGCCACCUUGAUUCCUACAAACAAAUUCAGAGGAUUCAAAGCUAGUGAUAUAUGUGAGAUGGUGAAAAAGUACUACCCAGCUGAUUUUCCCCAAGAUAUUUAUGGAUUACAACAGCAACUUAAGCACUUUGUUUCAGAUGCUUCCAAGGAUGAUGAUUUGAAAAACAUAUCUACCUUAAUUGAUCUAUGUCGAUGCCUUGUGGAGACAGGAAGACAUACCGUCUACAAUUUGAUUGACAGAUUACUUCGGUUGCUCGUUACCCUUCCAGUUUCUACAGCCAGUGCUGAACGCGCAUUUUCUAGUAUGAAGAUCAUUAAGACAAGAUUGCGCAAUAAGAUGGAAGAUGAGAAUCUGGCUAAUAACUUGUUAGUACACAUAGAGGGUGGAAUUCUGGAGAACUACAGUCAUGAAGAUGCCAUUGCAGAUUUUAUAAGCACGAAGGAUCGGAGAGUUGAUUUCUAG
rnacentral:rRNA from 1 species